GCUGUCGUCAGCUCGUGUUGUGAAAUGUUGGGUUAAGUCCCGCAACGAGCGCAACCCUUAUCCUUUGUUGCCAGCGAUUAGGUCGGGAACUCAAAGGAGACUGCCAGUGAUAAACUGGAGGAAGGUGGGGAUGACGUCAAGUCAUCAUGGCCCUUACGACCAGGGCUACACACGUGCUACAAUGGCGCAUACAAAGAGAAGCGACCUCGCGAGAGCAAGCGGACCUCAUAAAGUGCGUCGUAGUCCGGAUUGGAGUCUGCAACUCGACUCCAUGAAGUCGGAAUCGCUAGUAAUCGUGGAUCAGAAUGCCACGGUGAAUACGUUCCCGGGCCUUGUACACACCGCCCGUCACACCAUGGGAGUGGGUUGCAAAAGAAGUAGGUAGCUUAACCUUCGGGAGGGCGCUUACCACUUUGUGAUUCAUGACUGGGGUGAAGUCGUAACAAGGUAACCGUAGGGGAACCUGCGGUUGGAUC
rnacentral:rRNA from 1 species